GACAUCACAGAAGGAGGAUGGGCCUUAGACAGACAUCACUCUUUAGAAUCCCUGCAACUUUGAGCAAGUUCGUGAAUCUCACUAAGGCUCAGUUUCCUCCAUAAAAUUAAUCAAUAUCAGGGCCUCUGCAUUGGACAACUCCAGAGGGCACCAUUGGGGUUAUACCUUGUGUUUGCCUAACCUUCAUUGCAGUGGGCAGGUGCAUGCUUUCUACAAUGUCCUAAGGUCUAAAGGGGUAGAGUUCUGUGUGUGGCAUUUUAGGCCUGGAAAGGAUGAGAGUCUACAAAACCAGAGAAAUACUGCAGCAAAUGGUCAAACCCAGGAGGGAAUGGUAUGAACCUCUGGUUUACAGCCAUUGGUAAGAAGCACACAUGACAACCUGGACUUUCCAUCAACAUUUGAAGCGGGAGCAGUCUUGUGGGAUCAAGCUCUUAACCUGUGGGGUCUGCUACUAACUCUGAGAUCCCAGACCACCACCCAUGAUCCCAGGCUGGAGGAAGCAGCAGGCUAGCGGAAUUCAGGACCAAUGAGCCAGGAAAGAGGACCCAAUGCAGAGCUCACAUCCCACCCUCCUUCCCCCAUGACAAAGCACUGGCAAACCCUGCCAAAGAAGAAGCUUGGCUGCAAAGCAGUCUGGAACUGGACCCGGGAUAGAUUCACCAGGAGCUCACCACCACAGGGAAUGCUGCACUUUGACUGGACAGAAUGCAUCCUCCAUGCCCACAGAGCAUGUGCCCAGGAUGAAUCUCACUGUAUCCCAGUUCCUCAUGCUUGGCCCCAAACCUCUUUUUCACAGUAAUAAAGAAAACACACUUUACAAAAA
rnacentral:lncRNA from 1 species